rnacentral:rRNA from 1 species
AUUGAACGCUGGCGGCAGGCCUAACACAUGCAAGUCGAGCGAGCGGCGGACGGGUGAGUAAUGUAUGGGGACUGCCCGAUAGAGGGGGAUAACUACUGGAAACGGUGGCUAAUACCGCAUAUUGUCGGAUAACCCAUAUGGGAUUAGCUAGUAGGUAAGGUAAUGGCUUACCUAGGCGACGAUCCCUAGCUGGUCUGAGAGGAUGAUCAGCCACACUGGGACUGAGACACGGCCCAGACUCCUACGGAGGCAGCAGUGGGAAAUAUUGCACAAUGGGCGCAAGCCUAAGGCAGCAAGGCCGCGUGUAUGAAGAAGGCCCUAGAGUUGUAAAGUACUUUCAGUCGGAAGGCGUUACCGACAGAAGAAGCACCGGCUAACUCCGUGCCAGCCGCCGCGGUAAUA